AGUUAAAUUAAUAAGGGCGUACGGUGGAUGCCUUGGCGCUGAGAGACGAAGAAGGACGUGGUAAGCUGCGAAAAGCUACGGGGAGUCGCAAACAGACUUUGAUCCGUAGAUGUCCGAAUGGGGAAACCCGACUAGUUGUAGACUAGUCACCGAUUGCUGAACACAUAGGCAAUCAGGAGGAAACCCGGAGAAGUGAAACAUCUCAGUAACCGGAGGAAGAGAAAUCAAUUGAGAUUCUGCUAGUAGCGGCGAGCGAACGCGGAAGAGCCUAAACCUAUAUGAUGUUAAAGAUUACAGUCGUUGUCAUAUAGGGGUUGCGGGAUUUACCAGGAGUGAGCUGUAGAUCACUCGAACAGUUAUAAAUCUUAUAUAUAGUCGAACAGUCUGGGAAGGCUGACCAUAGGGGGUGAUAGUCCUGUAGACGAAAUGUAUAAGACUGUUUGUGGUAGAGACCCAAGUAGGGCGGGGCACGUGAAACCCCGUUUGAAUCUAGGUGGACCAUCAUCUAAGGCUAAAUACUCCUCAGCGACCGAUAGUGAAGCAGUACCGUGAGGGAAAGGUGAAAAGCACCCCGGGAGGGGAGUGAAAUAGAACCUGAAACCGUAUGCUUACAAGCUGUCAGAGCGGAUUUAUUCCGUGAUGGCGUGCCUUUUGGAGAAUGACCCAGCGACUUAAUUUAUGUAGCAAGGUUAAGAGGUAAAAGCCUCGUAGCCGCAGGGAAACCGAGUCUGAAUAGGGCGAAUAAGUUACAUGGAUUAGACCCGAAACUGUGUGAUCUAGGCGUGGCCAGGUUGAAGUCUCGGUAACACGAGAUGGAGGACCGAACCAGGAAGAGUUGAAAAUCUUUUGGAUGAGCUGCGUUUAGGAGUGAAAAGCUAAUCGAACACAGUGAUAGCUGGUUCUCCCCGAAAUAGCUUUAGGGCUAGCGUCGUGUGUUAAAUUAUGGAGGUAGAGCACUGUUCGGAUCUCCGGGGGCUUGACCGCUUACUGGACCCUUACAAACUCCGAAUGCCAUAAUUACAGAGCACGGCAGUCAGACUGCGACAAAAAGUGCCGUAGUCAAGAGGGAAACAGCCCGGACCAACAGCUAAGGUCCUCAAAUUACAGUUAAGUGCAUCAAAGGAAGUUGAAAUACACAGACAACCAGGAGGUUGGCUUAGAAGCAGCCACCCUUUAAAGAGUGCGUAAUAGCUCACUGGUCAAGUGCUUUGGCGCCGAAAAUUACCGGGGCUAAACUGUAUACCGAAGCUUUGGAAUACAUGUAUCGAGAUACAUCUAUUGGUAGGGGAGCGUUGUGUUGUAGGAUGAAGGUUGACCGUAAGGGAGGCUGGACGAAGCACAAGUGCGAAUGCUGGGAUAAGUAACGAAAAGACAGGUGAGAAUCCUGUCCGUCAAAAACCUAAGGUUUCCUGGGGAAGGGUCGUCCGCCCAGGGUUAGUCAGCCACUAAACCGAGGCCGAAAGGCGUAGGUGAUGUGAAACAGGUUAAUAUUCAUGUACCGCAGACAUGGUGUUUGAGCAGAGGAGUAACACAGGAAGGUAUACUAGCUCGGUUAUUGGAUUCCGGGCCAAGUCUAUAGGUGGAGAGAGUAGGAAAAAAACGCUCUCUUGUUAACACUGAAGGGCGAUGGGUAGCUGGACAUGUUCCGGUGGACUAGUAGAUCCUACACUGUCAGGAAAAACUUCGUACUGUGAGUCAUGUAGGCGACUGUACCGUAAACCGACACAGGUGGGUGAGGUGAGUAACCUAAGACGCGCGAAUGAUAUGCUGUUAAGGAACUCGGCAAAAUCGCCCCGUAACUUCGGGAGAAGGGGCGCUCUGUUAGUGUAUAAGGAUGGUUAAACUGAAUUAUGCAUGAGAGAGCCGCAGUGAAGAGGCCACCGCGACUGUUUAACAAAAACACAGGACUCUGCUAACACGUAAGUGGAAGUAUAGGGUUUGAUACCUGCCCGGUGCUGGAAGGUUAAAUGGAGGAGUUAGUCUUUAUGGCGAAGCUUUGAAAUGAAGCCCCAGUAAACGGCGGCCGUAACUAUAACGGUCCUAAGGUAGCGAAAUUCCUUGUCGGGUAAGUUCCGACCUGCACGAAUGGUACAACGAUGGUGGCGCUGUCUCAACGGCAUGUUCGGCGAACUUGUAGAGUUUGUGCAGAUGCGAACUACCUGCAAUAGGACGGAAAGACCCCGUGGAGCUUUACUGUAGCUUAGCAUUGGUUCUUGAUAUAGCAUGUACAGGAUAGUUGGGAGACAUUGAAGAGUGGGCGUUAGCUUGCUUGGAGUCAUUGGUGGGAUACCAACCUUGCUAUAUUGGGAAUCUAACAUUGAGCCAUGAAACUGGUUUGUGAACAGUGCUAGGUGGGCAGUUUGACUGGGGCGGUCGCCUCCUAAAGAGUAACGGAGGCGCUCAAAGGUUCCCUCAUCCCGGUCGGCAAUCGGGAGACGAGUGUAAAGGCAUAAGGGAGCUUGACUGCGAGAGAGACAUUUCGAGCAGGUGCGAAAGCAGGACUUAGUGAUCCGGUGGUACCGAAUGGAAGGGCCAUCGCUUAACGGAUAAAAGCUACCCCGGGGAUAACAGGCUAAUCUCCUCCAAGAGUCCACAUCGACGAGGAGGUUUGGCACCUCGAUGUCGGCUCAUCGCAUCCUGGGGCUGGAGUAGGUCCCAAGGGUUGGGCUGUUCGCCCAUUAAAGCGGUACGCGAGCUGGGUUCAGAACGUCGUGAGACAGUUCGGUCCCUAUCCAUUGCAGGCGUAAGAGAAUUGAAGAGGGCUGUCCCUAGUACGAGAGGACCGGGAUGGGUUGACCUCUGGUGUACCAGUUGUCGUGCCAACGGCACAGCUGGGUAGCUACGUCAAUGAUAGAUAAGCGCUGAAGGCAUCUAAGCGCGAAACUAGCUCUGAGAUAAGUUCUCUCAUUCAUAAUGAAGUAAGGUCCCUUAGAGACUAUGAGGUAGAUAGGCUGGGGGUGUAAGUGUAGCGAUACAUUAAGCUGACCAGUACUAAUAGACCGAGGAUUUAACUAAG
rnacentral:rRNA from 2 species